rnacentral:lncRNA from 1 species
GGUCUCUCUGUUCUAAGAAUAGGCCAGUCCAGUUUAAACAGCUAACAGUUUUGUCUUAUUUUAGGCAGUACAUCUAUAAGAAAUUUGAACAAUUCAACAAGCAAAAAACACCACCAUUAAAUGUGGGCAAAAGGCAUGAACACACACAUCUCAAAAGAAGACAAAAAAGUGGCCAACACAUAUAUGAAAGAGCAUGCCACAUUAGUAAUCAUCAGAGAAAUGCAAAUUAAA